CCUGAAACCCUGCACUUACAAGCUGUGGAAGCACAUUUCUUGUGUGACCGCGUACUUUUUGUAGAACGGGCCAACGAGUUACGUUAAGUAGCAAGGUUAAGCACUUAAGGUGCGGAGCCGUAGCGAAAGCGAGUUUUAACUGAGCGUUCAGUUACUGGACGUAGACCCGAAACCGGGCGACCUACCCAUGAGCAGGAUGAAGCGAAAGUAAAAUUUCGUGGAGGUCCGAACCCACGAGCG
rnacentral:rRNA from 1 species